rnacentral:rRNA from 1 species
UCGAUUGUCCCAGCCGCCGCGGUAAUACGUAGGGUGCAAGCGUUAUCCGGAAUUAUUGGGCGUAAAGGGCUCGUAGGCGGUUCGUCGCGUCCGGUGUGAAAGUCCAUCGCUUAACGGUGGAUUCGCGCCGGGUACGGGCGGGCUUGAGUGCGGUAGGGGAGACUGGAAUUCCCGGUGUAACGGUGGAAUGUGUAGAUAUCGGGAAGGACACCAAUGGCGAAGGCAGGUCUCUGGGCCGUUACUGACGCUGAGGAGCGAAAGCGUGGGGAGCGAACAGGAUUAGAUACCCUGGUAGUCCACGCCGUAAACGGUGGAUGCUGGAUGUGGGGCCCGUUCCACGGGUUCCGUGUCGGAGCUAACGCGUUAAGCAUCCCGCCUGGGGAGUACGGCCGCAAGGCUAAAACUCAAAGAAAUUGACGGGGGCCCGCACAAGCGGCGGAGCAUGCGGAUUAAUUCGAUGCAACGCGAAGAACCUUACCUGGGCUUGACAUGUUCCCGACGAUCCCAGAGAUGGGGUUUCCCUUCGGGGCGGGUUCACAGGUGGUGCAUGGUCGUCGUCAGCUCGUGUCGUGAGAUGUUGGGUUAAGUCCCGCAACGAGCGCAACCCUCGCCCCGUGUUGCCAGCGGAUUGUGCCGGGAACUCACGGGGGACCGCCGGGGUUAACUCGGAGGAAGGUGGGGAUGACGUCAGAUCAUCAUGCCCCUUACGUCCAGGGCUUCACGCAUGCUACAAUGGCCGGUACAACGGGAUGCGACGCGGCGACGCGGAGCGGAUCCCUGAAAACCGGUCUCAGUUCGGAUCGCAGUCUGCAACUCGACUGCGUGAAGGCGGAGUCGCUAGUAAUCGCGAAUCAGCAACGUCGCGGUGAAUGCGUUCCCGGGCCUUGUACACACCGCCCGUCAAGUCAUGAAAGUGGGCAGCACCCGAAGCCGGUGGCCUAACCCCUUGUGGGAUGGAGCCGUCUAAGGUGAGGCUCGUGAUUGGGACUAAGUCGUAACAAGGUAACCA